UCUUCGGUACAAAGAUUUUGCAUGGGAAAUUCCCGUGCGGGAGGGGUAAAUCAAAGCCAUCGUCAUCACCAACGCUUCCUCCUUCAUGGGAGGACCAAUCUUCAUCAACAUCUUCACCAACACCAUCUCAUCUCCAACCCUAGUUCACCAUGUGUAUUUAAUCUUUGUCUCAAAACCUGAGAUUUGUACAUGUGGGUUACUAGUUGUGUUGAUUACAUCUUGUAGUUUAUGCUUGUUGGAUUACUUGGUGGUAGAUAUUAUGUUCAUAUCCUUAAUUAUUAUUGUUACACCUCUUGAGGACAUGGGAGAAGUCUUGUUAUAAGUAAUCAUGUAAAGUUGGUUUUCGUUCGAUAUUUUGAUGAUAUGGAU
rnacentral:lncRNA from 1 species